rnacentral:piRNA from 1 species
UGUAUAAUUGAUAGUACAAGUGUGGAC